UAUUUUUGUCACUUUGUCAGAGAGAAAUUGCAGCCCCGAGGGCAUUAGAGCUUCACAGAAUUACCCAAAACAUUAACAUGCAAAUUGCCUUCUUUAGAGAAGGUAAUUUUAUUAGUGCACGAGAAAAAAAACGUUUCUUUCACUGUACUCAUGCCUAGGAGCAGCACCGUCUAGGGGCCAGUUAGGGCCACCAAAAACGGAUAAUCAGGGAGCCUCCUAAAGUUGGUUGGGAUUUUGAGCCUCCUCCAGGUGGGCCCAUGUCUCCCUGGAUGUGGGAAGCACCCACACCUCGGUUAACACUCGGCUGCCUAGGGGUACGCAGGGCAGAGAGGGAGAGUGAUUUGUUCAAGAUGGUACAGCUCCAAUGGCCAGAAAAGAACCACACAGCACCAAACACAGCAGGAAAACAUGGCAGGGAGGGUCUGGAAGCUUCUCGGAGAGGGCCUUACACAUGGCCAGUCAAGGUUGGAUGGGCAAUCCAGGCUGGGAGGAAUACCUGAGCAGAGGUGCCCAGAAGAGAUUCGCUGGCCUGGCCCAGCAAGGUGUGGCAGAAGGGUGGGCUGGGAUGGGGGUGGGUGCAGAGGGUGGAGGCAAGGCCAAGCCCAGAGGCUAACAAGCUGGAUGUCACCUGCAGGUGGCAAGCAGACCGGCAGAGCCACGAGAUUUGAGAAGGGAGGGGUUUCCCGGCCCAGGGAGCCAACAUGACAGAAGGCUGUACGAGGCUGCGCUUACAUAAGGCUUCCUCCUCCCUCUGCAGACGUGAAGGGGGAGCGUGGGCAGAGACACCCACCACCGCUCAGCAGAGUCUCAGUGAAGUCAGGUCGCGCGGAGCAGAUGAGGCUCCCACUCCGUAUUUCAAUCACAAGUCACCACGGCAGACUUCAAAGCACAUCAGAGCGCAGUUAUUGAGCCCCAGUAACAACAUGUCAGUGGACGCGGAGCUUUUCACGUCACCUGUCACCGAGAUGGCUAUCUCUAUUGGGUUCUGCAAGGGCGGAGGUUCCAGUCUCUCCCCGGGUAAUAUAACAAACUGCUCUGCUAAUUUCCAAAGCUUCAUUAGGAAAGGGCCACAGGUCGUCCCUAAUUAUCAUAUCCAUGUCCGCUGGGCUCCUCUCUCUGACGCAGGAACGGAGACUGCCGGGCUUGCUCUGUGGGUUAAUGGA
rnacentral:lncRNA from 1 species